GAUGAACGCUAGCUACAGGCUUAACACAUGCAAGUCGAGGGGAAACGAUAUUGGAAGCUUGCUUCCGAUAGGCGUCGACCGGCGCACGGGUGAGUAACGCGUAUCCAACCUGCCCGUCACUUGGGAAUAACCUUGCGAAAGUAAGACUAAUGCCCAAUGACAUUUAUAGAAGGCAUCUGAAAUGAAUUAAAGAUUUAUCGGUGAUGGAUGGGGAUGCGUCUGAUUAGCUUGUUGGCGGGGUAACGGCCCACCAAGGCGACGAUCAGUAGGGGUUCUGAGAGGAAGGUCCCCCCACAUUGGAACUGAGACACGGUCCAAACUCCUACGGGAGGCAGCAGUGAGGAAUAUUGGUCAAUGGGCGAGAGCCUGAACCAGCCAAGUAGCGUGCAGGAAGACGGCCCGUAUGGGUUGUAAACUGCUUUUAUAGGGGAAUAAAGUGAGCCACGUGUGGUUUUUUGCAUGUACCCUAUGAAUAAGGACCGGCUAAUUCCGUG
rnacentral:rRNA from 1 species